GGCUUGUGUUGUUACUUUCUUUGGUCACAGUUGGUAAGUAACAUUAUAUCUUGUAAAGGGCUCAUGUUAUAUAUGUGUUAUGAAUAAAUGUUUAUUUUUACAGUUUUUUUUAAUUGUUGUUUCCUUUAUAUUUUAGGUUGUGACAAAAAUACAUAUGAACCUGGAUUCAGCUCCACAAAAACAUAUGUGUACAAUUAUGAAGGCAGUCUCAUGAUAGGUCAUCAAGAAAAAAACCUGUAUGAAUCUGGAUUAAAAAUCUCCAGCUC
rnacentral:lncRNA from 1 species